rnacentral:rRNA from 1 species
GGAAAGUGGCGCACGGGUGCGUAACGCGUAUGCAACCUACCUUAAUCAGGGGGAUAGCCCGAAGAAAUUCGGAUUAACACCGCAUAAAAUCACAGUACAGCAUUGUACAAUGAUCAAAUAUUUAUAGGAUUAAGAUGGGCAUGCGUGUCAUUAGUUAGUUGGCGAGGUAACGGCUCACCAAGACCACGAUGACUAGGGGAUCUGAGAGGAUGACCCCCCACACUGGUACUGAGACACGGACCAGACUCCUACGGGAGGCAGCAGUAAGGAAUAUUGGUCAAUGGAGGCAACUCUGAACCAGCCAUGCCGCGUGCAGGAAGACAGCCCUCUGGGUCGUAAACUGCUUUUAUUCGGGAAUAAACCUACUUACGUGUAAGUAGCUGAAUGUACCGAAGGAAUAAGGAUCGGCUAACUCCGUGCCAGCAGCCGCGGUAAUACGGAGGAUCCAAGCGUUAUCCGGAUUUAUUGGGUUUAAAGGGUGCGUAGGCGGCUUAUUAAGUCAGGGGUGAAAGACGGUGGCUCAACCAUCGCAGUGCCCUUGAUACUGAUGAGCUUGAAUACACUAGAGGUAGGCGGAAUGUGACAAGUAGCGGUGAAAUGCAUAGAUAUGUCACAGAACACCGAUUGCGAAGGCAGCUUACUAUGGUGUUAUUGACGCUGAGGCACGAAAGCGUGGGGAUCAAACAGGAUUAGAUACCCUGGUAGUCCACGCCCUAAACGAUGAAUACUCGCUGUUAGCGAUACACAGUUAGCGGCUAAGCGAAAGCGUUAAGUAUUCCA